CUAAAAUCUCAGAAAUCGCCACUAAAGAACCACGUCCCUCCAAAACCCUAUUGAAAUAAAAAAAUUAAAAAUUAAAAUAAACAAAAAUAAAAUGGUCAGAAAACUAAAAGCUUUCCUUUUUUUCUUUGAGACAGGGUCUCACUAUGUUACCCAAGCUGGUCUCAAACUCCUGGCCUCAAGCAAUUCUCUCAAGUAGCUGGUAUUACUGGUGAGAGCUACCAUACCCAGGUAGAAAACUAAGUUUUCAUAACUCUGUUGGCAACAAAACCUGACCUGAACUGAGAAAACCUAAAACAAAUACACGGUGCUGAAAUUAUCACCAGCAAUAUCCCAGAACUCAAGUAUGAGGAUGGAACAGUGCCUGUGGCAACAGAGAAGUAAAAAACUUCAAGCAGACGCUGUAAGAAUCAGACUUCCAAAUCCGUGACAUCCCUCUCCCAAAUCUGCCUAGCACCAAGCAUGUGGAAAACUUCCCCCACCUCACCGCCAGUUUCUAC
rnacentral:lncRNA from 1 species